rnacentral:rRNA from 1 species
CUACGGGUGGCAGCAGUGAGGAGUAUUGCGCAAUGGGGGGAACCCUGACGCAGCAACGCCACGUGAGUGAGGAAGGCUUUUGGGUCGUAAAGCUCUGUCGAAUAGGAAGAAGCUUUUACUUGUGAAUAAUGAGUAAGAGUUGACGGUACUAUUAGAGGAAGCACCGGCUAACUCCGUGCCAGCAGCCGCGGUAAUACGGAGGGUGCGAGCGUUAUUCGGAAUUACUGGGCGUAAAGAGUGCGUAGGCGGCUAAUUAAGUCAAAUGUGAAAGCCCUGUGCUUAACGCAGGAAGUGCAUUUGAGACUGAUAAGCUAGAGUAUAAGAGAGGAAGGCGGAAUUCCAGGUGUAGCGGUGGAAUGCGUAGAUAUCUGGAGGAACACCAGUGGUGAAGACGGCUUUCUGGAUUAAUACUGACGCUGAGGUACGAAGGCGUGGGGAGCAAACAGGAUUAGAUACCCCUGUAGUC